rnacentral:rRNA from 1 species
CCUACGGGAGGCAGCAGUGAGGAAUAUUGGUCAAUGGCCGGAAGUCUGAACCAGCCAAGCAGCGUGAAGGACGAAGGUGCCAAGGAUUGUAAACUUCUUUUGUCAAGGGACAAAAUGAGGCUCGAGUGCCUGACCGCGGGUACUUGAAGAAAAAGCAUCGGCUAACUCCGUGCCAGCAGCCGCGGUAAUACGGAGGAUGCGAGCGUUAUCCGGAUUUAUUGGGUUAAAGGGGUGCGUAGGAGGGCUUUUAAGUCAGCGGUAAAAGCCCGGGGCUCAACCCAGGCUAGCCGUUGAAACUGGCUGUCUUGAGAUGUCGAGAGGUAUGCGGAAUGCGCAGUGUAGCGGUGAAAUGCUUAGAUAUUGCGCAGAACUCCGAUUGCGAAGGCAGCAUACCGGCGGGUAUCUGACGCUGAGGCACGAAAGCGUGGGUAUCGAACAGGAUUAGAUACCCCAGUAGUC